CCAAACUUGGUCAUUUAGAGGAAGUAAAAGUCGUAACAAGGUCUCCGUAGGUGAACCUGCGGAGGGAUCAUUACAGAGUUGUAAAACUCCCAAAACCCAUUGCGAAUCUUACCUGUUGUCUUUGUUGCUUCGGCAGGCGGUCCCAGGGCGGGACCUUUGCCUCUUGCAGGCGCCUGCCGGAGGACCACACACUCUUGUUAUUUGUUAUUCUGAAUAUCUAAAGUCUCUGCGACGAGACUAAAUAAGUCAAAACCUUCAACAACGGAUCUCUUGGCUCUGGCAUCGAUGAAGAACGCAGC
rnacentral:misc_RNA from 1 species